UUCCACUGAAGAGCUAAUUUCCUGUGAGACAUUAACAGUGAUUUAAGAAAAAGAUUCCUGUAACUGGUAAGGAAACUGAGGUAUACAAGGAUGAACUUUUGCAAGGCUACAAAUCUUGUUAAUAGUGAAGCUAACGUUCAGACCCAAGUGGUUCGGCUCUAGACUUUGUCUCAGUUACUGAAUUGAACUCUCUGUGCACUUACGAUGUGUCAUACCAGUUCUCACUACAUAGUGUCCCAAAAGAUUGGGCCUGCUCUUUCUUUCAGAGACAAUUAGGAAAAAAGUAAACAAACGGAGCAGGAUUUGGGCAUAACAGCAUGCUCCUCCCAUCCCCCAAAUCCCAGGAGUGUCACUGAGUAAUGUCUUACAAUAACAGAAUGCAGGAGAGCACAUAUCAAUGAAGAAAAGACAAAAUGUACUUAUCCAUGAAGCUGAGGUUAAGAAACCAGUGUCUUCAAGAGCCAGGGACAGCACUGGGUCUGUGCAGAGUUGAGAGAUGGUGAUGACAUGUGACAGAGCUCCUUGCUGCUCAAAUUUUAUGCCAGAUAAAAUAUUCACCUUCUCGGACUCCCUGGCACCAGGCAUGGCCAUGUAAUCCUACAGCACAGCUGAUGAAAGAGAAGACAUCUUGCUGCUAUUUGACAAGCAAGAAGAUAAAAGCUUUCCUAUAAAGAUGAUGGAGCAAAAAAAUAGAAGGGGCCUAGACUCCCUACCUUCACACUUCCUGCUAUAAAAGCAUUGCUAUUAUAAGGUUAAUCUGCAGAAACAGACUUCUAUGUCAUAUGCUUAAAUGCAUCAAAAUUCAUACAAUAUCCAUUAAAUUGGUAAAAGUAUCCAUUUUAAAGGAUUAAUCUGAGGGACCCACAGACACUUAACACAAUCAAAUCUCAGAAAAAAAAUCAGUUAUUUCAUUGUGAUUUUGAGGCUGAUCUUUUAUGAUCUUUUAGUUAUCAAACUGUUAAAUACAUUUUAACUUUCAAAUUUUAUGAAUAAAGGAGAUGAAUCCUG
rnacentral:lncRNA from 10 species